rnacentral:rRNA from 1 species
UAAUACGGGGGAUGCAAGCGUUAUCCGGAAUCAUUGGGCGUAAAGCGCCUGUAGGUUGUUUAGUAAGUCUGUUGUUAAAGACUAGGGCUUAACCCUAGAAAAGCAAUGGAAACUACUAGACUAGAGUAUGGUAGGGGUAGAGGGAAUUUCUAGUGUAGCGGUGAAAUGCGUAGAUAUUAGAAAGAACACCGGUGGCGAAAGCGCUCUACUGGACCAUUACUAACACUCAGAGGCGAAAGCUAGGGUAGCAAAAGGGAUAGAUACCCCUGUAGUCCUAGCCGUAAACGAUGGAUACUAGAUGUUGCGCUUUGUGCAGUAUCGUAGCUAACGCGUUAAGUAUCCCGCCUGGGGAGUACGCUCGCAAGGGUG